rnacentral:rRNA from 1 species
UACGUAGGGGGCAAGCGUUGUCCGGAAUCAUUGGGCGUAAAGCGCGCGUAGGCAGCCCGGUAAGUCCGCUGUGAAAGUCGGGGGGCUCAACCCUCGGAUGCCGGUGGAUACUGUCGGGCUUGAGUAUGGGAGAGGUGAGUGGAAUUCCUGGUGUAGCGGUGAAAUGCGCAGAUGUCGGGAGGAACACCGGUGGCGAAGGCGGUUCUCUGGGCCUUACCUGACGCUGAGGAGCGAAAGCGUGGGGAGCGAACAGG